rnacentral:misc_RNA from 1 species
GAGGAAUCUUGUCAGGAUUAUACCCUUCUAGCUUGUGCGUUCAUGUUGGAGGUCACGGUGAUCAAUUUGAAUGGGCUUAAAGUGAAUAGAAAUGGUUUAUAGUAGAUGUAUAAACAGGAAAUAGCUCUAUAUUUUUUCCUGUUUCCAGGAGUGCUUGCCAUUCAUUACUUGGUCUUCAGGAGACGAUUCUUGUCUCAUGUAAACUCCUCCGCAAAGAAUUAUGUAUGCCUGGG